rnacentral:rRNA from 1 species
GGAAUUUUGGACAAUGGGCGAAAGCCUGAUCCAGCAAUGCCGCGUGAGUGAAGAAGGCCUUCGGGUUGUAAAGCUCUUUUGUCAGGGAAGAAACGGUGAAAGCUAAUAUCUUUUGCUAAUGACGGUACCUGAAGAAUAAGCACCGGCUAACUACGUGCCAGCAGCCGCGGUAAUACGUAGGGUGCAAGCGUUAAUCGGAAUUACUGGGCGUAAAGCGUGCGCAGGCGGUUUUGUAAGUCUGAUGUGAAAUCCCCGGGCUCAACCUGGGAAUUGCAUUGGAGACUGCAAGGCUAGAAUCUGGCAGAGGGGGGUAGAAUUCCACGUGUAGCAGUGAAAUGCGUAGAUAUGUGGAGGAACACCGAUGGCGAAGGCAGCCCCCUGGGUCAAGAUUGACGCUCAUGCACGAAAGCGUGGGGAGCAAACAGGAUUAGAUACCCUUG